rnacentral:rRNA from 1 species
AUGAACAUCAUGUAUCUGAGUGCAUCAACCAUAUUUGAGAAGUAUUGUGACAGUUGGGUGAUGAAGGCUGAUCCUAGGACAUCUAUCUUGAGUGGAUUUGGAUGGUUGCAGGAGACUAUCAGUACACCGGGAGAGACCUUCAGCAUGCUUAGAAUGAAGGCAACAAUAUUCUUUGAACUUCAUGACUUGUUGAAGGAUAAGUAUGGGCUGAGCCAUUCCCCUUUUGUUAGUAGUUAUGAGUCUCUUGCUAUGUUCUUGUGGCUUGGGGGCUGUGAAUCAAAUAGAAGAACCCAAAACCGUUUCAAGCAUUCCGCCGAUACAAUCCAUCGUAAAUUCCAUGAAGUACUACUUUGUGUGGUGAAGAUGUCAGCUGACUACAUCAAGCCUAAGGACCCAAAUUUUAGGACCGUGCAUCCAAGGAUUCGGAAUGACAAAAGGGCUUAUCCACACUUGAAAGACUGCAUUUGGUGCAAUAGAUGGGACUCACAUUAG